rnacentral:piRNA from 1 species
UGUGAAUUGGGUAGGCCAUGUGUCAUGGCUU